GAGUAGGCAGGAGAGCUUGGUGGAAAUGGUGAAAUAGUGGUGACUGAGCAGCAGGGCCUGUCCUUUGUGCAUUGCAUGUGAGAGGAGCAUACUUCACAUCCUGAUAAUGUUGUGCCUGACCAUGUGAUUUCUUUGGCAAAGAACAUGAGCAGAGUGAUAUAUGUUUCUUCUGGGCAGAGGCCUUAGGAGCCAUCACACUCUUCUGCAGUUCCUCUUGGCCUUCUGCCAUGAGGAUGGCAUGUCCCCAGUAGGGGCUGUUCUUUUAUUCUGGACUGCAGGACUUACGAAGCAGAACCACAGCCAAUAUACUUGUUGCAAUAUACUUGUUGCUGUAAAUCCCUGGGAUUUGGAUGGUGUUUGUUGCCACAGCAUAACUUACCAAACCCAAGAAAAGAAGUAGGUGGACACAAAUGACUACUGAGAUGUGUGGAGAAGAAUUGCCUAGCACACAACCACCAAUGCUGCUGAAGGCAGGAGAAAUUGCCAGAUCCACACAGCAGGAUAAAGACAUUUAAACUAAGGAGAGACUGGUGUGAUCGAUUCAUGCAUCUGGUACACAGGCUGUCAUGGAGGGAUCCUGCUAUACCUUAAUUCACACAUUUUUUCUCAGUCAUUUGAAAAAUGAAAAUCUGCCUUACAAUUGGUGAUGUCUUAGAAUCUAUGCAACGUUGUAAUUGGCUCCACGUUGAAGUUCCAUGUUUUAUUGGAGAAGAUCCUAUCCCGUUUCACAUGCCAAAUUAUUUGUGCCCAUUUUUCAAGCAUGUUGAUUUAAAUCUGUCGAAGGAUCUGCGCACGUCAAGGCAGCUUAAUGAAGAAAAUGACUCUGUAUGUAUAUCCUUCAAAUAAAGAUUAAAUUGUGCCAGGUUUAAAGCAAAA
rnacentral:lncRNA from 1 species